rnacentral:rRNA from 1 species
CCUACGGGAGGCUGCAGUAGGGAAUCUUUCACAAUGGACGAAAGCCUGAUGGAGCAACGCCGCGUGCAGGAUGAAGGCCUUCUGGUUGUAAACUUCUUUUAUAAGCGAGAUAUAUGCUGGUAACUUAUGCAUACUGAUCGGCUCAAUACGUUCCAGCAGCCGCGGUCCUACGUAGGAUCCGAGCAUUAUCCGGAGUGACUGGGGGUAAAGAGUUGCUGAGGUGGCAUAAUAAGUAGCGAGUGAAAUCUGGUGGCUCAACCAUUCAGACUAUUAGCGAAACUGUUAAGCUAGAGACCGGUAGGGGUAAGUGGAAUUUAUGGUGUAGGAGUGAAAUCCGUAGAGAUUAGAAGGAACACCGAUAGCGAAGGCAGGUUACUGGGACGGGUCUGACACUAAGGCACGAAAGCGUAGGGAGCAAACGGGAUUAGAUACCCGAGUAGUC